GAGAACUGUCGACUGAUGCUAAUAGAGGUUUGGAUAUCCUCCAAGACCUAGACCCUUUUCUCUUCCAGGGACCACACCCGUGAGAGGGGGAAGAUGACAACAUCGCUCUAUGAAGCUGCUCAGCCUGCUAGCCAUCUUGGCCCUGGGAACCUAGGACAACACCUUCUUGAAGUACUGGCACCAAACUCUGGGCGGGCAAGAGUUCCCAUGUAUGUAAUGCAUCUAAGCUCCAGGAUGGGCACUAAGCACGGCCAGGGACAGUGGCCAACCGGCCACUGCGAAGGGGGUGGAUGUCUGUUCUUAGGGCCUGCUCACUGCAAACAGGGUCUUUGGCAGUUGUGACAUCACCCCCUUUGCCAUACCUGCCUAGCUCAUAUGUGGCACCUGUGCUUAUCAGUGGCUCCCUGCUGGGCGGGGAGAACUUGCUUCCUCGGUUUUGUGCUCCCAGCUGUCCGCCACAAAGAGCCACCCAGAAGGCCGACAUCAAACUAUCGGGCUGGGAGGCCCAGUCUCAGGGACCGAGCGCUUUUUCGAGAUCAUGUUUACUGCAUAUGGGGUUGCACAGCCUGCUCGCGAAGGACUUAUCCUGGCUAAACUAGUUGAACAGAUAACCAAUGCCAGUGCUGCCAGCCUUCAGACUCUCAGGGACGAGCAGAGAGCCAUCCGGAUGACCGUACUGCAGAACCAGAUGGCUCUUGACUUUCUCCUCCCCAGCCAAGGAGGGGUCUGCAAGCUCAUCAGAAAGGAAUGUUGCACCUUCAUCCCAGACAACUCUAGACACUUGGAUGCAGUUGUUGCUGAUCUGUAACAUGUGGUUGACCAGUACCAUGAUGAAGACACCAAUGGAGGAGUUUGGGACUGAUUCCAAGGACUCUUUAAAAACUUGAGGAGCUUCCUA